AAAAAAUUAUGAGCUGGUCACCCAUGUGGGUGCAUAUGAUUGGAUAGUAUAACCUGCUGCAAGAAUUUCUUCUGUAUCCCUGUCUGCUAGAAAUCAAAAGAUUUGCUGGCAUCCCAUCCUGUCUGUUUCGGUCACUUUCCUCCCCACCAUUUUACACCCCUAGCAUCUUCCAUGGCUUAAUUUCAGAUGGUAGAAAAAUGCUGUUCAUUUUGUUUUUCCCCAUUAACCCCUAAAUUUGUGAUGCAAUCUAUAUUUGGGAAUUGUGGAAAUUCCCAGCUUGCACAUAAUUGAACCCAAUGUUAAAGGUGCUCAGGGGAUUUUUUUUUGCAUAAUCAUAUUUUUAUCCCGCAGUAUGUCAUUAGAUUUACCUCAUUUCAAUGCCAAUCAUCAAUAACUUAAUUUCCAUAUUUGCUGGUCAGAUUGACUGAAUUCCUAUCUAGCUUUUGGCAUGUGCAUCAAAGCAGUUGCCUUUUUCUAAAAUAUACUGAUGUUUGCAUGUCCGUAGCACAUCAGCUUGACAAUAUUAAUGUGCGGAUUUAAGCAAAAAGAUAAUUGUACAGAAAAUCCAUAAUGGGAGUGCUGAUUCCACAUUGGGAAGCUUGUGUAGCGAACUGAUAGGGUUCGUUUGCAAUUCUGACCUUUCUGCUUACUACUAGGCAAUGUUCAUUUUUUGGGGGGGGGGUUAUUUUAAAGAUCUGCCUUCAUAGUAAUGUUGAAGGGAGUUAACUAGGGUUGUAAAAUAUAAAUAAUGCAUAGCUUGGAUAAAUGCAAAGUUAGGAGUGAAAAUAAAUUUCAAAAUGCGUUUGGUCAUUUUUCCCCUCCAAAUUGUACAUCUAUCUAGUGCAUGCAUUUCAUGCCCCUGGUUAACUCCCUUCAACAUUACUCUGAAGACAUCUUCAGCAUUUGUGGACCUCUUUUGUCUCCAUCUGGGAACAUUAUGUUCUUGUUGCAUGUAUUCGAGGUCAUCAAGUUGGGUAAGUGCAUAACUAUUAAAGUGGUUCUCGAGCCAAUGAGGUUGACUUCGUGGAGCUGAAAGUUACAAUGUAGGUGAAAGGCUACAAUAUGCCAUGAAUGAAAGACUACAGGAGGUGAAUUCAAAUGGAAGCAAGGUGCAAGAAGGGCGAAACAAUGCAAACAGAAGGUAGGCGAAGAUAAGAAGAUUUUCUGUCCUUUUCUCCCUAUUUCAUUAUUAAGAUUUAUAUUUGUCAUCUGCAUGCUUCUCUGCUGUUCAUAAGCAGUACAGAACAGGCCCUUUCCACAAUAUCCACACCGAACAUGAUGUCAAGUUAAACUAACUUCUGCCAGCAUGUGAUCCAGUCCCUACCUAUCCAGAAGCCUCUUAAAUGCUACUAUCAUAUCUGCUUCCACCAUCUCCCCUGGCAUUGUGUUUCAGGCACCCACCACUGUAAAUAAAAACUUACCCCACAUAUCUCCUCUAAACUUUGAAACAAAGGUGAGAGGGGCAGUGAUGCAGCAGUUAUUUUGUAUGCAAUACGAUGCUCAAACAGCAGUGAAAUAAACUGAUAACUUUUAGUUGCAGAAUUAAGCAUUCAAUUUUUAGGAAAAUAAUACCAGCAAUUUUGGGUAGAGAGGUAGAAUCUAGAUGUGGAUGGAAAGAUGAUGCCUUUCUAUUAAGGGAAUUCCAGAGCUUAAAAUCAAGCAGCCAGUACCAAAAAAGGUCAAUGUGCUGGAAAAGGCUCAGCGGAUCGGGCAGCAUCUCGAAAGAACAUGGAUAGGUGAUGUUUUGGGUCCGGACCCUUUGGCCCUAUACCAGGGCCAUUGGUUGGUUGAAGGAUACAGUGCAAAGGAGACUAGAGGCUUACACUUCAAGUAGUGGCAUAGCAUCUUUAAACUGUAUGUAUAUCAAUGAUCGUUAACGUGUCAUCUCAUCCAUAGGACAAGUUUGGUCAAUUUAGAUAUUCAAGAUUUGGGGGUAAAGUACAUCUGAAAUAUUGAAUUUUUGGAGAAUAUAAAAAUUGCCUGGUCGGUAAGUUGUCAGAAAAUACAAGUUAACAGUGAAUUUAUUCUUAUACUUUGCUGUUUUUAGUUUGAGUGUGAUUUUUGCACAUGUUUUGGUGUAAGCACAUGUAUGGAGGAGUUGAAAGAUUAUAGAAGAAUGGUAAAAAUAAAAUGGGACUGAUGGGGUUGUUUUGCUGGGAGCUAGCAUGGAUUUAAUUGCGUGGCAGCCUCCUAUGUUGUGAUGAACUACGUAGGAAGAAUGUUAUGUACCGUUGUUACACAAAUGUAAAUUUGUGCUCCAAUUUGAUUUGUAAAGUAACUGGACAACCAAACGAGUUGCCAUUUGAUUACCUGCUGCAGGAUGCGCUGUCUUUGAACCUUUUCAACCAGCAGAAGCAAAUUUGGCGCCUAAAAUUAUUAACCUGUGUUCUACUUUAUUCAGAGAUAUUCUAUUAUUGGUUUACUUAGCCAUAAUUACUGAAACCACCAUCUGCUCCCUCAUUUUUGUCUGGAUGGUAAUUGCUCAAAAUUAAUAUUUUAAAAUGGUUUUCAUUUUUGAAUUUUAUCUAAUUCUUGAUCUUUAAUACAUCAGCCAUGAUUGAAUGGCAGAGUAGACAUUGUGCCGAAUGGUCUAAUUCUGCUCCUAUUACUUAUGGACUUUAUUUUUGGUAUCCAUUGUGCUUUACCUUGAUUUUCCAACAUUUAUGAGGAAACAUUUUAAGAUGCUGUGAAUCUUUAUGCUGAUUUUGUUUGAGUUGCAUUCCGGAUAUCACUGCUGUCACAUAAAGCUAACCAGUUAUACAUUGGUGCUUUUCAAUUAAUCCCAUGCUUUCCCUUCUAGGUCAUUAAUUGCACACUUCUCUCAUAGCCAAAGAGCAAAACAGCAGGCUAUUUUGGGUCAUGAACUUCUCAACAGCCGUCAUCAUUGCUGUCUGCUGAUCUGAUAAAGCAACACUUCUAUUUAUUUGCAUCAAUCUAAAUUGAAAUUCAGCAAGCUCUCCGAUUGCCGUGUCUCAUAAUGGCUCAUAAAGCGCAGAGGGAGAAGAGGAGGGAAGAGACUGCAGCCCUAAGAUUUUUGCCUCCAUCACAGUGAGGAGGUGCUUGGAGGAUACACUGUGGUGGAUGUUAAUUUGUGUUUAUUGUUGUUUAUUAUUGUAUGAUUGUAUGUAUGACUGCAGGCACGAAAUUUCGUUCAGACCGCAAGGUCUGAAUGACAAUAAAGGUAUUCUAUUCUAUUCUAUUCUAUUCUUCUUUGACUUUCAUUGGCACAACUUUGGUCCUCAUGUUGAUAAACAGCAAUAAGUUUCCAAAGGUGAUGGAAAGAUUAGGUGCUGAGAGCUCUCUUGUGCCUGCAUUAGGAGGCAAUUAAACACCUGACUAAUUACAAAAGCUUGUGAAGCCAUGUGUCCCAAACAUUAUGGUGUCCUGAUGGGGGGAAACUAUGUAUAACACAGCUGUAAUUUCUACAUGGUGUAAUUAAAAUGUAUACAAAUACCCUUUAAUAAAAUCUGACCGUGCACUUUAACCACAUGUGACUUUUUAUUACAAAUCUCAAAUUGUGUACAGAGGCAAAUAAAUAAAUAAACAUUAUGGAGGUCACUGUAGAUGGACAGUCUGGCUAAAUGUGGUUUGUUCCAACACAUGACUUUAGAACACUUCAAAUGGUCUGUCACAUCUGUCUGGUAUGCUCAGCUAUUUCUUGGCUAAAGGGUGGAUUCCCAUAAGCACACCUGCCUGGAGGCUAAUGAGCCUCAUCCGCUUGUCUUUGCAGGUCAGACUACAACUUGUGCUCUGAUGCAAAGAUGCCUAGUAAUAACUGCUGUGUCGACUGUCCCCAUCAAUCCAUUUGGUCUUGCCUUAUCAGAGAUUUUGUUCUCCCCAUUCCUCUGUGAAGCACACUUCCAUUUUCUGUUGUUAAAAACUAACUUUUAUUUUCCUUCCCAGUCCUGAAGGAUCUCUCACUGGAAAGGUUAACUAUUUAUCUUUCCACAGAUGAACCCUGAUCUGGUAAGUGCCUCCCUGUUAAGUUGAAUGUCAUUAACUUAAUAUUAGUUGGUAAUUAGACAAUGGUGAUUAUUGUACACUUGGAAGUUAUGACAAGAUUGGAAAUGGUAUGCUUGGAGGGGGAACCAGAAGAUUAGGGAGACAAAGAAAAUAAAAUUGUGACCAUAUUUACAUUCUAUACAAUCAAGUAACAAUUAAAGCUUGCUGAGGGAAGACAUUACAUGAACAUUAUGGAAUCAUUGACUCGCUACUUCAUUUUUCACAGACGACAGAAUUUUUUUUAAAGAAAGUAGAAUUUGAAACAGUCUAUAGUUAUAGAAAAGUUUUAAAUGCCUGGAGUUUGGUAAAGGCCAUGUUUUUACAUUUUCUUUGCAGAAAUACAAAAUUCAAAGGCAACACUGGUAUGCUACAGAUAUCCAAGGGAGGAGGAUAUGGGGGCGGGGUCAAGUGUCAAUGCCACAUCGGAGAUAAGCAACAAAAUUCAGUGCAUGGAAAUAGCUACUAAAAGAUAAAUGUUAAAGAAUGUUCCCCAAGUGUGAUGUGGGUCCCACUUGAAUAAAUUAUUCCAACUUGUAAAAUGGAGCAUUGUCAUUGAAAAUUGCAGAUGAUGGGGUUGGAGAAUGCCAGGAGAAUGGGGUUAAGGGAAAACUAGUUCAGUCCUUAUUGAAUGACACGCUAGACUCAAUUCAAUGGGCUAAUUCUGUUCCAAUGCCUUGCGGUCUUUCAUUGAAGGCUCUACCCUGGUUUGACUUCCCAUGAUGCACACCUUUCACCUAUCUGAAAUGUCAAAUUACCUAACUGGCACACCACUACUUGCAUGCCUCCAGUCUGAGAAACAGCCUUCCAAAUUAUCUCUGUCAUCGAGUCAUGGAUAUACAGUGUGGAAACGGGUCCUUCAGCCCAACCUGCCCCCACCGGCCAACAUGUCCCAGCUACACUAGUCCCACCUGCCAGCAUUUGGUCCAUGUCCCUCCAAACCUUUCCUAUCCAUGUACCUGUCUAACUGUUCCUUAAAUGUUGGGAUAGUCCCUUCCUCAACUCUCUUCCCUGGCAGCUUGUUCCAUACAUUCUCCACCCUCUGCUUCCUAUCAUCCAGCCUAUUAUGUAUCCAAUUAGCUUGCUCGCCUUAUAACCCACCAUGGUCUUGCUAUGAUCCAUGUAGAAAAUGUCCACUGCCUGGUCCUCAGCAAUCCUUUUGGUUACCUCUUCAAAAAAAAGGUUAGUGAGAUACUAUUUUCCCCACAUCAUGCUGACUAUCUCUAAUCAGUCCUCGUCUUUCCAAAUACUGGUAGAUACUGCCAUUUGAAUCCUGUCUUAAUAACUUACACAUCACUAACCGGCCUGUAGUUCACAGGAUUCACCUUACUGCCCUUUAACAUUAGUUACCCUCCAGUCUUCUAGAACUUAAUAUGCCACUAAAGAUGAUGUAACUAUCUUUGUAAAAUUCUUAAGGGGUUGGACAGGCUAGAUGCAGGAAGAUUGUUCCCUAUGUUGGGGAAGUCCAGAACAAGGGCCCACAGUUUAAGGUUAAGGGGGAAGUCUUUUAGGACCGAGAUGAGAAAAAUAUUUUUCACACAGAGUGGUGAAUCUGUGGAAUUCUCUGCCACAGAAGGUAGUUGAGGCCAGUUCAUUGGCUAUAUUUAAGAGGGAGUUAGAUGUGGCCCUUAUGGUUAAAGGGAUCAGGGGGUAUGGAGAGAAGGCAGGUACAGGAUACUGAGUUGGAUGAACAGCCAUGAUCAUAUUGAAUGGCGGUGCAGGCUCGAAGGGCCGAAUGGCCUACUCCUGCACCUAUUUUCUAUGUUUCUAUGCAAGGACAUCCCAAAUUUAUUCCCUAGCUUUCCACAAGAUCCAAGGGUGCAGAUGGGGAUUUUUCCAGCUUAAUAUUCUUGAAGACCAGCAAUAGGUCGUUAGUAAUUUAUAUGGAGCAAGGUAUCGCAACUCAUUCUUCUGAAGAAAGGUCUUGGCCCAAAACAUCUCAUCCAUGUUCUCCAGGGAUGCUGCAUGUGUUGCUGUGUUACUCCAGUGCUUUGUAUCCUUUUAUUUAUCACAACUCAUUUGCCUCACUUGGUAUCUUCCAUGAUCAACACAGUAAAAACUGAAGAAGAUUGUUAAAUAUCUUGCCCAUCUUUUUAUGGCUCCACACAUAGAUUGCCAUACUGAUGAUCUUUAAGCCUCCUGCAUUGAACUAAAUGCAGCUUAAACUACUAGUCUUCGUUUUCUUUGCUGUGCUCCUGGCUAUUAAACCUGCUCUCUUUGACUACAGUAUUUGUUCCCAACUUCUCAUUGCCUAUUUUCUGCUUUUGGACCCAUUCCCCAGCCAAUCUACUUAAAACAUCUCUCUCUCUCUCAAGAGAGAAAAUCUCCUGCUCAGGAUAUUGUUACCCCUUCAGUUCGGGUGCAGGUUACCUCCGCCUCGUAUCCCAAUAAUUCAAAAUUCCGAAUUGCUGCUCCUGCACCAGCUCAGCCACACAUUCACCUGGUUUAUCCUUCUAUUUCUACCCUACUAACAUGUGGCACUGGGAAUAAUCAAAGAUUAUUACCCUUGAGGUCCCACUUUUAAUUUUUUCUAACUCCUAUAUUCAUUCUGUUACUGUGUGGAGAUACGAGGUAACACCUACAAAACCAACCUACAGCCAUUACGCACAUUACAAAAAAGAGCAAUAAGAAUUAUCAAUAAAGUUGGAUAUCUUGAACAUACCAAUUUAUUAUUCUUAACGUCACAUACACUGACGUUCACCGAUAUGGUUAAAUUUAAGACUGUGCAAAUCAUGUACAAAGCAAGAAAUAAUUUACUUCCAAGAAAUAUACAAAAACUGUUUAUGGAAAGACAGGGUGGGUAUAAUUUGAUAGAGGAACAUAAUUAAAAAAAAACUCAAUGUCAGAACAACUCUUAAAAGUAUGUGCAUAGUAAUCUGUGGUGUGAAUUUGUGGAAUGGUCUGGAACAGGAGAUAAAACUUAGCACAAGCAUAAUUCAGUUUAAAAAGAUGUACAAAAACACUUGUUUAAAAGGAUAUUGGGAUGAGGAUAGGUGAUUGUGAUAUUUGUUAUACUGAUUGUAUUGGGAAGGGUGAUUAUAGAGUGAUGGGUUGUAUAUAUGACUAAGAUACUGUAUAAUAUUUGUGGGGUUUUUUCUUUUCUUUUUCUUUUUUGUAUGGCUUUGUAAAUAUUUGAUGAGAGUUCAAAUGUAAAUAAUUUGGUGUACAUAUAGUGGCUGGUGUACAUAUAGCUGCUAAAUUUGUAUGAGAUAAAUACAAGCAGUUGAAUAAGGGGUGGGAAUUAAUAAGCUUUGGCUUCUUCCUGCUCCUUUUCGGACACAUAUGAUUUCAUUUAUUUAUAGAUAUUGUUUAUAACACUUUAUAAAUAUUUGUGUUUUGUUUUUUGUAUGCUGUUUCACAUUUGCUUGUUAUUAUUUUAUUCUGUCCGAAAUAAAUAACUAAUAAAUAAAUAAAUAAAUUCUGCAGGAUUUUAUUCCUUUUUCUAAUGUCAGAGAUAAGUAACAAAAUUCAGUGCAUGGAAAUAGCUACAAAGAUAAAUGUUAAAUGUUUUUCCCACAUGUGAUGUGGGUCCCACGUAUAAAUUAUUCCAACUUGUAAAAUUGAGCAUUGUCAUUGAUAAUUGCAGAUAAUAUCAAUUUAAUAACUGACAGAAUUUUACUAAUAUUUGAGAAGACUAGGGUUUAUUCAGUGUUAAUUGGUGAAUGGAAUCCAGCAUUGGAUGUUUCACUUUUUGAGAAGACUGUUUUAAGCUAUGAAAGAAACUAAGUAGUGCAAGAGACCAAAUAUACCAGGGAGUAUUGACAUAUAAAAUGCACCAACUCCAGUUGAUAAAUAAUGCUCAAUGAAGAUAUUAACCAAAACUGUGCACAAUUCUCCAAAUGUGGCCUUGCCAACAUCUUGUACAACUGCAACAUAACAUUGGAACUGGUGUGCUCAGUGCUCUACCUGAGGAGGGACAACGUGCCAAAUGCCUUCACCCUGCUACGCAUGGUUUUGUCAAGGGGAAAUCUUGCCUGACAAAUCUAGAGUUUCUUUGAGGUGGUAACAAGCAGGAUGGAUAAAGGCGAGUCGGUGAAUGUUACAAUGCCCUCCAUAAUGUUUAGGACAAAGACCCAUUUGUUUAUUUGCCUCUGUACUCCACAUUUUGAGAUUUGUAAUAGAAAAAAAUCACAUGUGGUUAAAGUAUACAUUAUCAGAUUUUAUUAAAGGGUAUUUUUAUACAUUUUGGUUUCACCAUGUAGAAAGUACAGCUGUGUCCCCCCCCCAUUUCAGGGCACCAUAAUAUUUGGUACACAUGGCUUCUCGGGCGUGUGUAAUUGCUCAGAUGUGUUUAAAUGCCUCAAUGCAGGUAUAAGAGAGCUCUCAGCACAGAAUUUCUCCAGUCUUUCCAUCACCUUUGGAAAAUUUUAUUGCUGUUUAUCAACAUGGGGACCAAAGUUGUGCCCAUGAAAGUCAAAUAAGCCAUUAUGAGACUGAGAAACAAGAUUAAAACUGAUAGAGGCAUCAGCCAAACAUUAGGCUUACCAAAAUCAACUGUUUGUAACAUCAUUAAAGAGCACUGGUUAGCUUAUUAAUCGCAAAGGUAUUGGCAGGCCAAGGAAGAUCUCCACAGCUGAUGACAGAAUUCUCUCUCUAAUCUAUAUUAUUAAAAGUAAGAUCUUGACCACUUCCUGUUUUUCAGUUUCAUGAUUUUUGAAAAAACGCUGCCAUUUACGGCCGUGAUUUUCGCCAUCUUACUCAGAGUCCCCUUCCGCUGCGCAGGACGAGGAUUGUUCCCAUCGAUUAAAAAUAAAAGAGUUAUUAAUGUUAAAAAAAUGUUGACAUUCUCUCUGCUGCCCCUGCUGGUGGGAGGGGGAGGGACUAUAAAACCUGGAAGUGUUGUGCCUCACUCAGUCUCUGCAAGAUGGAAGAAGCGAGAGGGUCACGUCUCUGAGCUGUGAAUAACACUGAACACAUGUCUACUCAACUGAGUGCCCUUAACGUGGUUUGAAAAUGAAAAUUUGGUUGCUUUGAAAUGCUGCACUGCAAAUUGUUGUUGGUGGUGGUAGUAACUGCUUUGAAAUGCUGCACUGCAAAUGGUUGUUGGUGGUGGUAACUGCUUUGAAAUGGCAUUAAACAGCACUAGCAUUUGGUGGCCCUGCACCCUGCUUGAAGUGGUAUGAAACUGCACUUGAGUUUGGUGGCCCUGCACUGCUUGAAGUGGUA